rnacentral:sRNA from 1 species
UUUGCGUUAGGGAUUGCAGUGGAAAGCCCACAGCCCGACGAAGGAGGUGCGAGGACUUGCAGCGGAAAGCCCGACCCUUG